rnacentral:rRNA from 1 species
GAUGAACGCUGGCGGCGUGCCUAAUACAUGCAAGUCGAGCGCAGCGGGGACGGGGGAGUAACACGUGGAUAACCUCCUAUAAGACUGGGACAACUUCGGGAAACCGGUGCUAAACCGGCUACUUAUAGAUGGAUCCUCGCUGCAUUAGCUAGUUGGUAAGGUAACGGCUUACCAAGGCAACGAUGCAUAGCCGAUCUGAGAGGGUGAUCGGCCACACUGGAACUGAGACACGGUCCAGACUCCUACGGGAGGCAGCAGUAGGGAAUCUUCCGCAAUGGACGAAAGCCUUACGGAGCAACGCCGCGUGAGUGAUGAAGGUCUUCGGAUCGUAAAACUCUGUUAUUAGAGAAGCGGUACCUAAUCAGAAAGCCACGGCUAACUACGUGCCAGCAGCCGCGGUAAUAC